rnacentral:lncRNA from 1 species
AUGUUUCUGGUUUCUUCUAGCUCUAACAUCCUACAACUCUUCAGCAACUGCUGUGAGGAAAAUAAUCAGAUUUUAUCAGGGCAAAUGGAGGGAGGAGUUUAUCAUGUAUAUGCUACAGCAAAUAACUUCAAAAUCUCCCUGAGACGUUUACCUCUCCUGCUCUGCUAAGAGGUACAUUUUUCCUUUUCUCCUUUCUUGUUUACAAAGCCUGGCUUUCUUGGUUUUCUCCCUGAACCCUCCACCCCCAGUUUCAAAUUCUCACCUCUUUAUUUUACAGAACAGUUCUACCCCAGCAAUCACCCAGACUUCUUUACCAAGCCACCUGAGAUCAGCAAGACCCUCUCUCCUUAGAAAGCAAUUUAGGGAACAUCUUUUAUUAUAAGAACAGGCUUCUUGGGGUCUCAAUCUUUCCUCCAAGUGACUUACUAACAUAUCUAAUCCUAUGCUGCCCUUGAGAGGAACUAUUCUUACGAGCUGGGCUAAUAACAUUUUGCCUACUGAUGUUAUCUAUCUGUGUGAUUGUGUAUAUGUAAGUAUGAAUGUAUCUCAACUGAACAGUAUAUGCAUUGCCUUACUAGCCUGGGAUGAGUAAUUUCUAAGCAUUUGAUUUCUAUACACACACACACACACACUCACACACACACAAAUAUUGGGAAGAUCUGAAAAGCAAGCAAGCCUUUUUGCAGGGGUGGGAGAAGAAGGAAAGUGUGG